rnacentral:ncRNA from 1 species
AAUAACAAAGAUAGCAUUGGGCCCUUGUGGGAUUAAAUGGGGCAGAUGACAUCCAACGCCCAAGAAAAGACCAAUCUCCUGGACGCCUCGCCAUCGCCCAUCUCUGAAGGGACGGGCGAUGGCCUCCGUUGCCCUCAGCUGAUCGAAAGGGAGUCGGGUUCAGAUCCCCGAAUCCGGAGUGGCGGAGACGGGCGCCGCAAGGCAUCCAGUGCGGUAACACAACCGAUCCCGAAGAAGCCGGCGGGAGCCCCGGGGAGAGUUCUCUUUUCUUUGUGAAGGGCAGGGCGCCCUGGAAUGGGUUCGCCCUGAGAGAGGGGCCCGAGCCUUGGAAAGCGUCGCGGUUCUGGCGGCGUCCGGUGAGCUCUCGCUGGUCCUUGAAAAUCCGGGGGAGAAGGUGUAAAUCUCGCGCCGGGCCGUACCCAUAUCCGCAGCAGGUCUCCAAGGUGAACAGCCUCUGUC